GGGGGUUGCUGGUUACCAUGUUCACCGUAAGAAAUACCUCUUCUGAAAGGUCAACACUUGAUAAAAGUCUAAAAAGCUAUGUGAGGUACAGGAGGCUGUGUGGGUAAGGAUCCUGUCUUCCACAUCACUGGGUGCCCAAGAUUUUGGACAAUGCCAGAAGCAUGGCAGACACUCAACAGGGGUCUGUUUAAAAGCAUCUUCACAUCUACCUGUCUUGUGGGAAUUAACAUAUCAUUCUGAAUUAGAGAAAGCUGUGUCCUGGCUCCCUUGAAUGGUCUUUGUAACUCAUGUUCUUUCUUACCACCUGAGUUACAUGAUAUAACCUUAUCAGGAGCUCUACCAGAACUCUGGUGGGCCUCGCCUUGUCUUACUCCUACAAAUAACCGAUGAGAAAUUCCUCCUGAAUAUUGAUGGAAACUCUCUGAGAACCUUCCCGGCUCAUGUUGGACAGACUGCAUUAGCCUUGGGCUGUGAGUGCUCUCUACAUCAACAGCAGAACUCAUGACCUGCAGCCCAGUUUUGAACAUACUGUAUGACUUCUGAUCCUUCUGGGAAGUAAUCUUGCAUGGAGACAGAUGAAAGAUUGGGAGGGGAGCUCCAAAUGGAUUGAUUUGGGGUAUUUGAUUUCUCCCCCAAAUUCUUUAGUUCUGAGGGUGUUCUACAAAUCCUAACCUAGGCUGGAAGGUCGGAAAUCAAGAUGAAAAUUAUGCAUUUCUCAGCCUUUGGCAUGUGGAAUGCCCACACCUUGUAUAAUUUCUGUCAGAAAAUGCUUUGAUGCCCAGUUUCCCAAGCUGUCUCAUAGCCUUUUGAUACCUAUGACUACAUUUAAAGUAAAGUUGGCAGAAAGUCUGAGAUGAUUUUAAUGAAGAGGAUUUAGCCCCAAAGGUUAAUGGGAUUGUCAUUGUGCAAAGAGUAAUUCUUUUGAAUGGUGACAAAGUGAUACUCAACAGCUUUCAAGCCACCCCAUCCAUCAUCAAUUUGGAUUGUGUUCUGCUACUGAUGUAAAGCUUAAUAUAGAGUUGUCCACAACGCUUCAUGACUCCUUUUCCCACACUGACCCCAGUGGUACAUGUCAGCCAACAUCUGGGCACCGCAGCUGUGAGACUUUCGAGAAGCUUGUGCAUACGCCUCUUUGCAGGGGUAAUUUGCUGAACAACACAUGUUCUCAUUUGAAGAAUGCCCUCUGACCCUAUAGGCAUUGCUCGUAGUGUGAUGGGUCCUAUAAAAUAUUUAAUCAUGUAUUUUAUUAUUUUAAUCAAAGGAAGCAUGGCAUUGACAUUGCAGCAAGUGAAUGAAGGAACAAAGCAAGACUUUGCCAUGGACAUUAGUACUCACACCCAAAUGGAAAACAGAUUUAUUAACAAAGGGCCUUUCCAAAACAAACCUAAGUCAUUAUGUGUCAAGACAAACUACAGUUGUUCUACUUUUAACAACUCCACAGAAGGACAGAAGAGGUGUUCCAGCCAAAGAGGGGAAAAAAAAGGUUAAGUGAUUUUCACAGCAUUUUUCCAAGUCUUGUGUUUGAAACGGGCAUUUAAAAGCAUUCUUUUGUAGUUCUGUCAGUAGUGACCAACAAAUCAUCCCCACCUAGGAAAUUACAGAGGCUUUCAAAAUGCAUGAAAGAGGAAAGAGCUACCACUGGAAGGGGCAGCUGUAAAUAAGACCUCUUUGGCAGGCAGCUAUGAUGGACACUAGUAAUGGUGCCACUAUUGUGCUUUUGCUUUCUGUUCAUUUGUUCUGGACACAUUUUAUAGGGAGAGGGGGACCUCACCUAAGAGCUUUAAAAUCUUUUGGAUUAUGAAAUUCAUAGUUUUACGUGACCAACACCUUCAGAAUUAUUCACAUCCAACUAUAUGAUGCAUCUUCAUGUGAUUAAUGAUUUGGGAUGUCUAGAGUGAACUAGAGUGUUUACCUGGUAUUUACAGAUCCCCUUGACUUGCUAAAAUAAUUUGCUCUCCUUUACAUCAUUUCAAAAUUAUUUGCUUUUUUUUCCCCACUGAAGUUUUUCGUCACCUUCUUUUACAUAUGUUUUUCCAGUAUUCUUUCUUAGUAUAAAACCAUAAAGAUAAGCUCUGUUUUAUUAAAAACCCAAGAAAUAUUGGGAUUUUAUUCUAUUAUUCUGAGGCCCAUUAUUAUACUCUCUAGUGUUUACUUGUGCAAACAUAACUGAAUUGAUACUUAUAAUGUAAACACAAUUAUUUUUCUUAUUUGGGAAAUAUAUUUAGAGUAAAUAUUAGCAGUAUACAAUGAUCUGAUUAAAAGCCAGAGUGAAAGUAGCAAAAAUUUCAAUUGCAUGCUCUGUUUUAUUUUUGAUCUUUAUAUUUCACUUGUCUCUCUGAUGAACCAUGUUUCCCUUUUUCUUUAUUUCAUAGUUUUAAACUUUUCGUGACAUCUACUUGCAUCUGAAUUGCUUGUCACAAUAAAAUCUUCAUUUUCCCCACAGCAUUUGACUCAUUCUUACUAAAAGUUUAAUUCAGAAAGUUUGUUUUAAAAUUGUUGUUGCUGCUUCAGUUUGUAGGCUUCACUAGGUCCUGUACACUAUGAUUUACAAAUGUCAGUUACCUUGGCAUGAAGUUACACUCUGACUUAAAUCAUUUCCCCCAAACUUUCUCUUGGCCCAACUUUGGAUAUCCUCAUGUCAUGAAAGAUCCUGAUUUUCUACAAGAUCCUCUACAAGAUCCAAAAUUUUGUAGACAGGUACUUUCUUUUACUCACUACGAAUCCACCUAAAUGACGUGUAUGAUUCUAAUUUUCUUCUCAUGUCUUAAG